GAAAACGAUCGCGUUGAAUGAAUUCUUGGCACUAGUUUCAUGCUCAUCAUAGUAACAAAUGCCUCGUCAACACUUAUAGUUCUCAUUGUGCUUCAUGAUUCUUGAUUGUAUCUUUAUUGUGCUCGUCACGUAAGGAACCUUUGAGGAAUGCUUUAAAUUGUUGUAUGCGCUUUUCCAUCCAAUUCAUUAACUUAAGGAGAACUUGAAGGUUAAUUUAAGCGUAU
rnacentral:lncRNA from 1 species